GUCCUCCCAAUUCUCGUUUACUUGAUUAUAUCCAAAGUUGAUACAUUUAGAUAGACUCCUGCCUGCUUGUUCUUGCAAACAGCAUUGGGUCUGGAAAUACAGGAAGCGUGGAGCUUCUGCAGGAGCAUUUUGGAUGAGGACUUUCUAAGUUGGAUCAUCCAAAUGUGAUUCUUGAUCAACUGGUUUACACAAAUAUAGUUGGACAAGGGUGGGAUAUUAUAUACAGAGUGGAAUUCACAUCCUAGGGUUUAAUAGAGGCGGCCAUUUUCUCAAGGAGCCAGCUAGGGUUUAGGAUUUUCGGAGCUUUAAGAAGAGGUACACCUUGGGAGAUCGAAGCCGAAA